UCGGGGAUCGUCUAAUGGCAGGACUCCAGUUUCUGGUACUGGCUAUCUAGGUUCGAAUCCUAGUCCCCGAGCCA
rnacentral:tRNA from 2 species